GGCCUGGUAGCACAACGGUUAGUGCCUCUGCUCACGCUGGCGGUCUACAGACAAUAAUCUUCUGUAGCAGAUCCCCGUUCGAUUCGGGGUCAGGCCC